GACGAACGCUGGCGGCGUGCCUAAUACAUGCAAGUUGAGCGCUGAAGGUUGGUACUUGUACCGACUGGAUGAGCAGCGAACGGGUGAGUAACGCGUGGGGAAUCUGCCUUUGAGCGGGGGACAACAUUUGGAAACGAAUGCUAAUACCGCAUAAAAACUUUAAACACAAGUUUUAAGUUUGAAAGAUGCAAUUGCAUCACUCAAAGAUGAUCCCGCGUUGUAUUAGCUAGUUGGUGAGGUAAAGGCUCACCAAGGCGAUGAUACAUAGCCGACCGGAGAGGGUGAGCGGCCACAUUGGGACUGAGACACGGCCCAAACUCCUACGGGAGGCAGCAGUAGGGAAUCUUCGGCAAUGGACGAAAGUCUGACCGAGCAACGCCGCGUGAGUGAAGAAGGUUUUCGGAUCGUAAAACUCUGUUGAUAGGGAAGAACGUUGGUGAGAGUGGAAAGCUCAUCAAGUGACGGUAACUACCCAGAAAGGGACGGCUAACUACGUGCCAGCAGCCGCCGUAA
rnacentral:rRNA from 1 species